UUUCUGAGAGUCCUGGACCUCCUGCACAAGAACAUGAAACACCUGUGGUUCUUCCUCCUCCUGGUGGCAGCUCCCAGAUGGGUCCUGUCCCAGGUGCAGCUGCAGGAGUCGGGCCCAGGACUGGUGAAGCUUUCGGAGACCCUGUCCCUCACCUGCGCUGUCUCUGGUGGCUCCAUCAGUGGUUACUACUGGGGCUGGAUCCGCCAGCCCGCAGGGAAGGGGCUGGAGUGGAUUGGGUAUAUCCAUAGUAGUGGGAGCACCAACUACAACCCGUCCCUCAAGAGUCGGGUCACCAUGUCAGCAGACACGUCCAAGAACCAGUUCUCCCUGAAGCUGAGCUCUGUGACCGCCGAGGACACGGCCGUCUAUUACUGUGCGAGAGACACAUCCUGGUAGGUACCAGAUG